rnacentral:rRNA from 1 species
GACGAACGCUGGCGGCGUGCUUCAUACAUGCAAGUCGAACGAGAAGCUGACUUCGGUCAGUGGAAAGUGGCGGACGGGUGAGUAAUAUGUAGGAAAUCUGCCUUUAGGAGGGGGACAACAGAGGGAAACUUCUGCUAAUACCCCAUAUGAGCGUAGCUGAAAUGCUAUUCUUGAAAACUCCGGUGCCUAAAGAUGAGCCUGCAUCUGAUUAGCUAGUUGGUAGUGUAAUGGACUACCAAGGCGACGAUCAGUAGCUGGUUUGAGAGGAUGAUCAGCCACAAUGGGACUGAGACACGGCCCAUACUCCUACGGGAGGCAGCAGUAGGGAAUUUUGCGCAAGGGGCGAAAGCCUGACGCAGCAACGCCGCGUGAACGAUUAAGCCCUUCGGGGUGUAAAGUUCUGUCAGUGGGGACGAAACUUGACGGUACCCACAGAGGAAGCACCGGCUAACUCCGUG